rnacentral:ncRNA from 2 species
CUUUUAUUCAGAGUGAUGGAGGUACAUAGGACCUGUGAAGUCACGGCAACCCCUUGAAAAAGGAAGGUGCCAGCCUGAGCGAGUAAGUCGAACAAUAAGAG